ACUGUUCAGACUUGACUCGUGAUUGGCUGCUGCGCUUCAGCGUGUUAUUACUGUCUGAUUUGAUCGGAGGCAGGGGGUGGUCUCCAAUCAAACAGAGAAAAGGUCCUGGAGAAGAUGUAUCUUUAAAGCUGUCCUGCUGAAUUGGAAGUCCCUGGAGGGCAGAACUGGCACCCUGUUCAAUCUGGAAUGCCCAGAAAUUCAAUCAACAGAAGUCAGUAUUGAUUUCACACCCUCCUGGACCCCUAUUUGAGUCUCUGUGUGGUGGCCCCUCUCCCCGGAAGUGAAGUCUUCCAGACUAUGAAUCUAUGAGCUAGAAGACAGCUGGGACAGCAAAUUCUUGACUCGCUUAUCAUCAUGUUCCCUUUCCAUGGUCAGCCCAGACUCUGGGCUCCAUCACAACACACUAGUCUGUUCAGCAUGGAGUACCUUUUUUGCCUCUUCUAGUCCAGCCAUCCAGGCAAAUCAAUCAAUACACUAAGUGGCAAUUCAUAAGUGACCCAUCGUGUCAAGCUGGAGAGCAGGAGGGACACCCAGCUUUUUAAAGCGAGCUUAUCAAUCACUGUAUCCCGAAUAAGCAUCUUCAUCCCAGCUACAGAAAAUAGAAGGCUGUAGAAAAGAACAGGAGGCUAGCCAUGCUUUCAACCUUAUUUUAAAGUAAUUAUAUGAAAAAAGUCUGUGUUUAUAAACUAAUAAAUUAUACACUUUUAAAAUGUU
rnacentral:lncRNA from 1 species